rnacentral:tRNA from 1 species
AUGCAGGUGGAGUUGUUUCACCGCGGGCAGGGCGUGGGUUCGCGGAUGUCGUCGGAAAUGGCAAGUGCCCUUUCAGC